UGUGACAUUAACUCAAGCAGCUAAUGUGUUCUCAAAUGACAGUGGAAUGUUUUAUACUUCUGAUCUCACCGAUUCUCUUUAUCCCUGCAGGUGAUGUUUGCCUGAAGAGGAAGCUUCAGCAAAGUUUCAAGGAAGGGAAGACUACUCUAACCAAUUCUGGACAGUCAAGUGGAGACUACUGCUUAAUGAGGAAGAUGGCGGCUCAUGUUUUGCUUUUGGAUUUGGAAAGACAUUUUAUUUGUUUCUGAUUUGCUAUGAUAUUUUAAUUCAUUCGCUAAUGUGCUCAACAAUUGUAUGUAUUUUCUCAUAUUUUACUGCAUUGUUGUUUUGAUGAAAUGCCUGUAUUUAAAAUUUAAAAAAUGCUUACUUGCCUUUUUUAAAAGAAAAAUAAAAAAAAUUGUGAUUGAA